AACGAACGCUGGCGGCAGGCUUAACACAUGCAAGUCGAACGCGUGUAGCAAUACACGAGUGGCGCACGGGUGAGUAACGCGUGGAUAUCUGCCUUUUGGUUCGGAAUAACCCCGGGAAACUGGGGCUAAUACCGGAUGGUUCCUUCGGGAUAAAGAUUUAUCGCCAAAAGAUGAGUCCGCGUACGAUUAGCUAGUUGGUGAGGUAAUGGCUCACCAAGGCGACGAUCGUUAGCUGGUCUGAGAGGACGAUCAGCCACACUGGGACUGAGACACGGCCCAGACUCCUACGGGAGGCAGCAGUGGGGAAUAUUGGACAAUGGGGGCAACCCUGAUCCAGCCAUGCCGCGUGAGUGAUGAAGGCCUUCGGGUUGUAAAGCUCUUUUGGCGGGGACGAUGAUGACGGUACCCGCAGAAUAAGCCCCGGCUAACUUCGUGCCAGCAGCCGCGGUAA
rnacentral:rRNA from 1 species